rnacentral:rRNA from 1 species
UACGAAGGGGGCUAGCGUUGCUCGGAAUGACUGGGCGUAAAGGGCGCGUAGGCGGCUUGCACCGUCAGAUGUGAAAUUCCUGGGCUUAACCUGGGGGCUGCAUUUGAUACGUGUGGGCUUGAGUGCGGAAGAGGGUCGUGGAAUUCCCAGUGUAGAGGUGAAAUUCGUAGAUAUCUGGAGGAACACCGGUGGCGAAGGCGGCAUCCUGGACCCAUAACUGACACUGAUAAGCGAAAGCCAGGGGAGCAAACGGG